AUUGAACGCUGGCGGCAGGCCUAACACAUGCAAGUCGAGCGAGCGGCGGACGGGUGAGUAAUGUAUGGGGACUGCCCGAUAGAGGGGGAUAACUACUGGAAACGGUAGCUAAUACCGCAUACUAUCGGCUAACCCCUAUGGGAUUAGCUAGUAGGUGAGGUAAUGGCUCACCUAGGCGACGAACCCUAGCUGGUCUGAGAGGAUGAUCAGCGAAACGGGAACUGAGACACGGCCAAGACUCGUACGGGAGUACCAGUGGGGAAUGUUGCACAAUGGGGGAAAGCCGGAUGCAGACAUGCCGGGUGUAGGAGGAGGGCCCUAGGGUUGUAAAGUACUUUCAGUCGGGAGGCGUUACCGUUAGAAGAAGCACCGGCUAACGCCGUGCCAGCAGCCGCGGUAAUUC
rnacentral:rRNA from 1 species